UACGUAGGUGGCGAGCGUUGUCCGGAAUUAUUGGGCGUAAAGAGCAUGUAGGCGGUUUUUUAAGUCCGGAGUGAAAAUGCGGGGCUCAACCCCGUAUGGCUCUGGAUACUGGAAGACUUGAGUGCAGGAGAGGAAAGGGGAAUUCCCAGUGUAGCGGUGAAAUGCGUAGAUAUUGGGAGGAACACCAGUGGCGAAGGCGCCUUUCUGGACUGUGUCUGACGCUGAGAUGCGAAAGCCAGGGUAGCGAACGGGAUUAGAUACCCCGGUAGUCCUGGCCGUAAACGAUGGGUACUAGGUGUAGGAGGUAUCGACCCCUUCUGUGCCGGGGUUAACGCAAUAAGUACCCCCGCCUGGGGAGUACGUCCGCAAGGAUGAAACUCA
rnacentral:rRNA from 1 species